GUGGGGAAUAUUGCACAAUGGGCGAAAGCCUGAUGCAGCAACGCCGCGUGAGUGAUGAAGGUCUUCGGAUUGUAAAGCUCUGUCUUUUGGGACGAUAAUGACGGUACCGAAGGAGGAAGCCACGGCUAACUACGUGCCAGCAGCCGCGGUAAUACGUAGGUGGCGAGCGUUGUCCGGAUUUACUGGGCGUAAAGGGUGCGUAGGCGGAUGUUUAAGUGAGAUGUGAAAUACCCGGGCUUAACUUGGGUGCUGCAUUUCAAACUGGAUAUCUAGAGUGCAGGAGAGGAGAAUGGAAUUCCUAGUGUAGCGGUGAAAUGCGUAGAGAUUAGGAAGAACACCAGUGGCGAAGGCGAUUCUCUGGACUGUAACUGACGCUGAGGCACGAAAGGCGUGGGUAGCAAACAGGAUUAGAUACCCUGGUAGUCCACGCCGUAAACGAUGAGUACUAGGUGUAGGA
rnacentral:rRNA from 1 species